rnacentral:tRNA from 1 species
GCCUGGUUGGCUCAGUCAGUAGAGCACACAACUCUUAAUCUUGGGGUCAUGAGUUCAAGCCUCAUGUUGGGCA